rnacentral:rRNA from 1 species
CCAAUAGCGUAUAUUAAAGUUGUUGCGGUUAAAAAGCUCGUAGUUGAAUCUGUGUCGCACACCGUCGGUUCACCGCUCGCGGUGUUUAACUGGCGUGAUGUGGGACGUCCUACCGGUGGGCUCAGCCCCGCGAGGGGCGGCCCAACUAAUAUCCCGUCGCGGUGCUCUUUACUGAGUGUCGAGUCGGGCCGGUACGUUUACUUUGAACAAAUUAGAGUGCUUAAAGCAGGCUAUCCUCGCCUGAAUACUGCGUGCAUGGAAUAAUGGAAUAGGACCUCGGUUCUAUUUUGUUGGUUUUCGGAACCCCGAGGUAAUGAUUAAUAGGGACAGAUGGGGGCAUUCGUAUUGCGACGUUAGAGGUGAAAUUCUUGGA